CACUUAGAUGUUCUGGGCCGCACACGCGCUACACUGAAGGAGGCAGCGUGUACUCCUGGAUCGAAAGAUUUGGGUAACCCGCGAAUCUCCUUCGUGCUAGGGAUUGAGGUUUGCAAUUAUCCUUCAUGAACGAGGAAUUCCCAGUAAGUGCAAGUCAUAAGCUUGCGCUGACUACGUCCCUGCCCUUUGUACACACCGCCCGUCGCUACUACCGAUUGAAUGAUUUAGUGAGGACUUCGGACUGGGACCGAUGCGGCUUUCGGGCUGCGUCGGUAUUCUGGAAAGAUGUCCAAACUGUAUCAUUUAGAGGAAGUAAAAGUCGUAACA
rnacentral:rRNA from 1 species